rnacentral:rRNA from 1 species
GACAGAGGGGGCAAGCGUUGCUCGGAAUUACUGGGCGUAAAGGGCGCGUAGGCGGGAUGGCAAGUCGGUCGUGAAAUCCCUCGGCUCAACUGAGGAUCGUCGAUCGAUACUGCCGUUCUGAGGAUUGCAGAGGAGACUGGAAUUCCCGGUGUAGCGGUGAAAUGUGUAGAGAUCGGGAGGAACACCGAUGGCGAAGGCAGCUCGCUGGGACGGUACUGACGCUGAGGAGCGAAAGCGUGGGGAGCGAACAGG